rnacentral:rRNA from 1 species
AGUGAACGCUGGCGGUAGGCCUAACACAUGCAAGUCGAACGGCAGCACAGUAAGAGCUUGCUCUUACGGGUGGCGAGUGGCGGACGGGUGAGGAAUACAUCGGAAUCUACUUUUUCGUGGGGGAUAACGUAGGGAAACUUACGCUAAUACCGCAUACGACCUACGGGUGAAAGCAGGGGAUCUUCGGACCUUGCGCGAUUGAAUGAGCCGAUGUCGGAUUAGCUAGUUGGCGGGGUAAAGGCCCACCAAGGCGACGAUCCGUAGCUGAUCUGAGAGGAUGAUCGGCCACACUGGAACUGAGACACGGUCCAGACUCCUACGGGAGGCAGCAGUGGGGAAUAUUGGACAAUGGGCGAAAGCCUGACCCAGCCAUACCGCGUGGGUGAAGAAGGCCUUCGGGUCGUAAAGCCCUUUUGUUGGGAAAGAAAAGCAGUAGGUUAAUACCCCGCUGUUCUGACGGUACCCAAAGAAUAAGCACCGGCUAACUUCGUG